GACUACAGCCAUGCCACCUUGAACAUGCCCGACCUCAUCUGAUCUCAGAAGCUAAGCAGGGUUGAACCUGGUUAGUACUUGGAUGGGAGAUCACCUAAGACCAGGUGAUGUAGGCG
rnacentral:rRNA from 1 species